rnacentral:lncRNA from 1 species
GUUUCCCAGUCGCAAUGCAGCAAAGCAGAAGCAGACAACUAGGCACAAAGCAACAGAGUUUUAAAGUUUUCUUCUCCUGCUACUACUUAGCAUGUCUUACAUGAGGAGUAUUUACCUUUGUUUAGCCAGGAGCAGAGAUGCAUCCUGAAUGUACACGAUGGCUUCUAACUUGGCAGCGUGAAUUUUCAGCUGAGCAGAGCCCAACAAAUAUCAUCAUGGAUGUGAUUUUUAAUAAUUUGGAAAAAACAAAAAAAGACAGCCUGUGGAGACAGCGAUUCGAAACAGCGGCACAUUUAGGUUAUUGCCAAUUUGAAAUACUUGGUUUGUGAAGCUGAGCCCUAAGGGACAAGCUCGGUAACUGAGGAAGAGAUCGUAGAUAAAGAAAUAAAAAUGACAAGCGUAAUGGAGGCUCUGCGAAGGGACUGUCAGAGCAUCAGUUCAUGGAUGGCAAUUUCACCAGGCUGAGAUUGAAUAAUUCAUAGAUUGAAAUUACCCUGCUUUCACCUUUCCAUUUAAGCCGGCAUGAUCUGAAUCUCUCAUAAAUUUUCAAGAUAAAGUAAAA